AGUGAACGCUGGCGGUAGGCCUAACACAUGCAAGUCGAACGGCAGCACAGGAGAGCUUGCUCUCUGGGUGGCGAGUGGCGGACGGGUGAGGAAUACAUCGGAAUCUACUCUGUCGUGGGGGAUAACGUAGGGAAACUUACGCUAAUACCGCAUACGACCUACGGGGGAAAGCAGGGGAUCUUCGGACCUUGCGCGAUUGAAUGAGCCGAUGUUGGAUUAGCUAGUUGGCGGGGUAAAGGCCCACCAAGGCGACGAUCCGUAGCUGGUCUGAGAGGAUGAUCAGCCACACUGGAACUGAGACACGGUCCAGACUCCUACGGGAGGCAGCAGUGGGGAAUAUUGGACAAUGGGCGCAAGCCUGAUCCAGCCAUACCGCGUGGGUGAAGAAGGCCUUCGGGUUGUAAAGCCCUUUUGUUGGGAAAGAAGUCCAGCUGGCUAAUACCCGGUUGGGAUGACGGUACCCAAAGAAUAAGCACCGGCUAACUUCGUGCCAGCCGCCGCAGUAA
rnacentral:rRNA from 1 species